AACGCGAAGAACCUUACCUGGGCUCGAAGUGCUCGUGACCAGUGGUGGAAACAUCGCCUUCUCGCAAGAGACACGAGUAGAGGUGCUGCAUGGCUGUCGUCAGCUCGUGCCGUGAGGUGUUGGGUUAAGUCCCGCAACGAGCGCAACCCUUACUCUUAGUUGCCACCCGCAAGGGGGAACUCUAAGAGGACUGCUCCGGAUAACGGAGAGGAAGGUGGGGAUGACGUCAAGUCAGCACGGCCUUUAUGUCCAGGGCUACACACGUGUUACAAUGCACGGUACAAACCGUCGCGAACCCGCGAGGGGGAGCUAAUCGGAGAAAACCGUGCUCAGUUCGGAUUGCAGUCUGCAACUCGACUGCAUGAAGCCGGAAUCGCUAGUAAUGGCGUAUCAGAACGACGCCGUGAAUACGUUCCCGGGCCUUGUACACACCGCUCGCGA
rnacentral:rRNA from 1 species